rnacentral:lncRNA from 1 species
GGGGACCUUCUGAGAAGAACUUUCAUUUUUUUACUGCUCUCUUUCCACCGGUUUUUAAAACAUAGCUCCGUAUACUGGUGAGCCUGUAAACAUAAACAUUUUAGGUGUGGAGAAUGGGCGUCUAAAGAAAGACUUUAGAGACUUCGGCAAAAUGCAAUGUAAAACCUCUCGGCCCCCAUUUCACGAUGCAACCUUUGGCUUCUCCAGAGUAGGAGCUGGGAGAAGGAGAAGAGGAGCAGUACCUGCAGACACGUGACCAUGAAGCCUGCUAUGUCCUGUGUCUCUGCCCCUGGAGGUCCUGAUCACCCACAUCUUUGCUCAAAGGUGCUUUGCUCCUCCUGAAUGCAUACCUGACUGCUUACGUUUCUCAUGCGUCCGUGCUUAGAGCUCACUGCGGGAUGAGUUACUUCAGGGGAUCCUUCAUGAGUUGUUAACCACCCUUAUUAAAAUGUGAAACUAACAUAAAGCAAUGUUAAACUAUUAUUUUUUAAACAAGAAAGCACAC